AGACAGGAAUAAAAUAGAAAAUUAAAAAAUAAUAAUAAUUAUAUAGCAUUUGCUGAAAUAAAGAGAGUUUAGGAUAAGAUAUAUUGAGUAAAUGAAAAUGGUAAGAAAUUUCGUUGUCCAAAGAUGUUGUGACACCUAACAUGACUGUGACACCUAACAUGGCUCACACACUCUAAAAAAAGAUAAUUAGGGUUUUGGACACCUUUUAUUCAGUGUACAUAUAUAUAUAGCCAAACAUAUCAGGUUCUAUAGUCAUCCUGGAAAGACACGAACAUUGCCGCCUAAUGGUAGUAAUGAAGAUCUCAUUUUACUAGCACAUGUACGAGAAGAAGGAAUCAACUUAGGCAAGACACUAUUAAUUUUCGAUCAAAUAUCUGAUAUACUUGUCUCAAACCAUUUAACUUUUUAUGAUUUAUUUGUCAGACCAAGCAAGCAAACAAAAGCUAAAAGAAUUUCUAAUGGUUCAAACUGUCGAUAUGGUUAGCGAAAUUAACGCUACUUGGAGAUCUGCUUGAACGUGAGGGCCUUUUGACACAAAGAUCUGUGAUCAAAGUGGACAGACACUACGAGCUUUGUCGAGAUAACAUGAAAGAAGUGAUACACUGUCAACGGAACUUAAUGACUACAGAGAAACAAUACCGGUAUUCAACAACCUGAUGCAGUUAACUAUUGUACCAUGUGUAGAGUACGAAUCACUGCGAGGUCUUCUCAAGAAUUUUCCAAACCUAGAAACUCUCGUCUUCGAAGUAGCAUACACAUUCUUCACAUUAACAACUAACAUGCUUUAACACAAAAAUAAUUUUCGAAACGGUCUCUUUUUAUGUUUUAGGGACUGCAUCACGAAUAUACUAAAAGAUGUGACGACGAGGAUAAGUGCUUGUGCGAAUAUCCGGAUGACUGUGGAGGAGCAGAUCGAGCAGGUCAAGCACUUCCUAAAGAUCAUGUCGAAUCUUGAACAAUUGAUAUUGUGCUACGAUACACCAAAUGAUCUGAUGAUACCAUUAGAAGUUACUUUUAUUUGCCCAUGAAUUUAAAACUCAUUCUUAAACUCAUGAAAAGCCUCAUUUAGUCUGGAUGACACAAGUGUUUUUAGGAGAAACAAAUGUUUUUGCAAAACUUGAAACAUAGAAAAUGAAACAAACGUGGAAAAUCAUCUCAUUUUCAGAUUAAAUGAAAAGUUUUAAUGUCUGUGAAGUCAAGUAAUCAAGUUGUGAUUGUAAAUUAGUGUUACAAGUCACUCCAUAUAUAAAACAUAAAGCUCCAACGACUUAAUGAGGGCAACUACGAAAAAAACACAAGUAUCGUGGAACUUAG